ensembl:lncRNA
UUUGUCUGUCUCUGCUAUUGCCUGUCCAUCUAUUUUUCCAUUCAUUCAUCUAGUCUGUCUAUUUGUACAAUAAUUAUAUUUAGUUGCUGGUGUCUGUCGAACUGUCGAUAUGUCCAUCUAUUUAGUCAUCGGUCUGUAUACACUGAGUAUACAAAACAUUAAGAACUUGUUAAAUCCACUUCAAUCAGUAUAGAUGAAGGGAAGGAGACAGGUUAAAGAAGGAUUUUUAAGCCUUGAAACAAGUGAGAAAUGGAUUGUGUGUGUGUGCCAUUCAGAGGGUGAAUGGGCAGGACAAAAGAUUUAAGUGCCGUUGAACCGGGUGUGGUAGUAGGUGCCAGGUGCAACUGUUUGUGUCAAGAACUGCAACGCUGCUGGGUUUUUCACACUCAACAGUUUCACGUGUGUAUCAAGACUGGUCCACCACACAAAAUGCAACACCAUUUUAGGAAAGUGUUCAUAAUGUUUCGUAUACUCUGUGUAUUUAUCUAGUAAUCUAACUGUCGGCUAUCAACUCACCUCCUUGUAGUUAGAUAUACACUAUAUAUAAAAAAGUAUGUGGACACCACUUCAAAUUAGUAGAUUUGGCUAUUUCAGCCAUACCCGUUGCUGACAGGUGUAUAAAAUCGAGCACAUAGCCAUGUAAUCUCCAUAGACAAACAUUGGCAGUAGAAUAGCCUUACUGAAAACCUGUUCCAUGUUCCAUCUGUCAAUCCACCUAAAACUAAUUUCUCAGGGACAGACAUGCUAUUGCAAAUAUUCUGUAUGUGUAAAUAAAUGCUCAGUGGAGUUUUCCUUCAAUCUUGUCCUGAGGGCAGCUCUGCCUCGAGGGCAAAAGGCAUGGGAUUGGUUGGAUGAAAGCCUCGCAAACCCCGAGCGGCACUCACAGCGACGAGUGAGAAUGAAAGGAAAGAGAAGAAAAGGCUCACUAGGUGCACCUGUCAACCAAGGAGUCAUUGCCGCAAUACGAACAUAGGAGGACAUUGAUUCAUUGUCAACAUAUUCCUCUUCUGAGAUUCGGAAGAAAACCAAUUCAAAUGGCCAAAGAAAAGCUAUACCAAAGGAAAGGUGGCUGCACUGGAUUCCAUGAACAGGAUUUGAUCAAAAACAAUCUUGAAGUAGUCUUUUUCACAAAAUGAAAGCAACACAAUUUGCUGCAUGAUUUUUCCUACUGGUGCUACAUAGUGUUUUUUAGUUCUCUGAUGGAGUUGCAGAGUACAUCCAGUGUUUGUAAUGUAAAAAAUUCUGCAACAGUUACACCAUAUGUUUAUUAACAUAAAAUAAUAAACUCAUGAGAAUAAGGUUUUAUAAUUAAAAUGUAUGCGUAUGACCAUCUUGGGACAGAGAUGAUCAAUAAAUCGUUAUUUACACACACACACACACACACACACACACACACACACACACACACACACACACAGGUCCACAAUGACUUUGAAAGGGUCAUCAUAGGUUUAUUUUACUUCACUAUAUAAGUAAGUAAGCAUUUCACUGUUGAUCUACACAUGUUGUUUACAAAGCAUGUGAUGAAUAACAUUUGAUUUGAUAUAUCCCCCAAUUUACUUUCCCUCACCAUGCCAAAUACUCUCCUAGUUGCAGAGUUCACGCUGAUGCUAACACAAGUCCUACCUGGCAGUGUGUAUAUAAUGAGUUAAACCAAUUUCUCAGCGUCAAAAGGAAUUCAUCAUGUAACGUCAAUGCACUUCUGGAACCACUGCCUCAAACACAUGUUCCAGUUUUUGAAUAUGGAAUGUACUUGUCAAGCUGUUUUUUGUUUUGUUUUACUAAACUUUGUGUUUCAUCUGGGAACGGGGGAAAUAAAAAUGAAUUAGACUUUCUAAUAAACUCAAGCAUUGAAUUUCUUCUUUUUGAUCUCUUGAAUCACCAACUAUGCAACACGCUGUGUAUCUAACAUCAAAACAUAGAAUCAAAGAGGAAAAGACUGGAGAAAAUGCAGAGGGAAGGAAUUAAACCAAUGAAACUCUAUUUUUCAACAUGGGAAUCAAAUGGACAGGACUGUGUAAAAGAGGAAAUUCAGGGUCUGGAAUGUAAGGCUGAAGGGAAUCUGGUACAUGACUCAGUUUGAGAGCAAAGCCCUUGUAAAGUACUGACUGUUCCUUGGGGCCUGUGAAAUGUCAGAGUGACCAAGAAAGAGACAAAGGCCAAAAGCGAAAAAGGAAGAUCUUAAGCACAACAAAUUCUAGCAUAUUGCAUGAAUUGGAUUUGUAACAUAUCACACAAAGUGCAAAAUUUGUAUGAUAUCAUACAAAUUGUUACAUUCAUAUCACACCAAAUGAAUGGUGUAGUGCUAGUUUUGGCUCAUAGUUUUGGCUCAUAGUUUUGGCUCAUUUGGCCCACUUUCAAAACGACUCUCUGAAAUUAUACAAAAGUUUGAGAGUGCAUCUUUAACAGAGUGAGAGAUCCUGUACUGACAGUAUGUGUGUGUGCACCUGAUACUGACACAACAUAGGGUAAUUUUGUAUAAUUUGUGAGAGGAGUAGGAAAAGGUCCAGCAAAGCACUUACAGAAGUCACUUGAGUUUAGGGAUUGAUCAUCUAACCAGUAAAGAAGUUGAGAUGGGACUACUAGCACCAUUUAAGUAUUAUAUUCCACUGUUGAAAAUAGAAUUGCCGUGGUAUGAUUGGCUUCUACUGUACUCAUUAAGUUGAUGCAUUCAUCUUCUAAGUGAUCAAAUUCACGUUCAUUGUGACGAGAAAGUAUCUAUCUGUGGUCUAUUAUUGAUCUUCAUUACAACAUCAACUUGUCUUGACCUGUCUCGCUAAGUAGGACUGGUACACCAUACUUUUUAUGUCUCUGUGUCCAGUAUGAAGGAAGUUAGAGGUAGUUUCGCAAGCUAAUGCUAACUAGCAUUAGCGCAAUGAGCAGAUACCCAUAGACUUCCAGUCACUGCGCAAAUGCUUGUUAGUAAUCCAGAGACAUAAAAGUGGUAUCCACGACUUCAUCUGACUCCUGGAAAGUAGAUAAAAACUGCCAAAAUCCCGAAGUAUCCCUUUGUGUGUAUGAAAGUGACACUGACCCUUUCAUGUCAUAGGCAGGGAUAAUGGUGGCCUUGUCCAAAUAGUUUACAGUGAGCCUCUCACCUUUGAAACACUGUAAGUCUGCACAUUUUGUAUUGCACUUUCAUGCUGGCUACAAAGAAUACUCUGAACAUUCACAAGUCACGUCCAAGGAGCUCAAACUGUUCCGGGGACUGUGGAGGAAGAGGUGACUUAUGGAUUUGGACUUAGUACUGUUAAGGGGUCACUGGCCCCCUUCUCCAACUCAGCACGGUAUCUCCAGAUGUCCUGCCUCUGCAGUAGUUUUGAUGGCCAAGACAGGACUGUACCCUUCACAACUACGUUCCUAAAGUCAUAUGCAAAUGAGACAUUUGGAUCAGGGAGGAAGGGAAAAGCAUUUAACUACCCCAAUCUUUUUAAUGUUGAUCGCCAUGCUAACUCGAAUCAACAAGCAACAGCGUCCCAACUUUUUGACUGAACGUUCCUUGAACCCCUUUGGGAUUAUUUGCUGUAUCAAAAGAUAACCGCUUUUUUGAUUGGGCCAUGCAAGACUCUCAAGACAAGCCCAUGUUUGAUUACAAUUUUUGACUAGGAUGACCACAUUUAGACUACCCGAAUGUGGGACAACAGGAUGAUUUUGUGGGACAGUGAAUAAAUUUUUUGGGAAGCAUUCCCAUAACUUUAGAGAACAUUCCCUUAAGAGGGAAUUUCAUUACAGUAGGUCAUUUAAUAACGCUAUCUUUGGAAUGUUUCCAAGAUGUGCAAGGAAUGUUUCCAAGAGAUCGUCCCCUUAAUGUCAAAUACAUCUUAUCCAGAACACGGUUACCAUGUUCUCAGAAUUUAAGAUAUUAAUGAUCUAGAACGAUAUCAAUGUUCACGGGAACGUUGCAAGAACAGUCAUGUGUCCAGUUUUCUGUAGGUUGGGAGAAUAUUCCAUCGACACCCCACCAAA